GUGGCGAACGGGUGAGGAACACGUGAAGAAUCUGCCCUCCACUUUGGGAUAACACCGGGAAACCGGUGCUAAUACCGAAUAUUGAAACAUAAGUGGCAUCACUGAGUUUUGAAAGAAUUUCGGUGGAGGAUGACUUCGCGGCCUAUCAGCUAGUUGGUGAGGUAAUAGCUCACCAAGGCAACGACGGGUAGCCGGCCUGAGAGGGCGACCGGCCACACUGGGACUGAGACACGGCCCAGACUCCUACGGGAGGCAGCAGUGGGGAAUAUUGGGCAAUGGAGGAAACUCUGACCCAGCGACGCCGCGUGCGGGAUGAAGGCCUUCGGGUUGUAAACCGCUUUCAGCAGGGAAUAAGCGCAAGUGAAGGUACCUGCAGAAGAAGCACCGGCUAACUAUGUGCCAGCAGCCGCGGUAAUACAUAGGGUGCAAGCGUUGUCCGGAAUUAUUGGGCGUAAAGAGCUCGUAGGUGGUUUGUUACGUCGGUUGUGAAAUUCAGGGGCUCAACCCCUGACUUGCAGCCGAUACGGGCAAGCUAGAGUUUGGUAGGGGAGACUGGAAUUCCUGGUGUAGCGGUGGAAUGCGCAGAUAUCAGGAGGAACACCGAUGGCGAAGGCAGGUCUCUGGGCCAAUACUGACACUGAGGAGCGAAAGCGUGGGGAGCGAACAGGAUUAGAUACCCUGGUAGUCCACGCCGUAAACGGUGGGCGCUAGUUGUGCGAACCUUCCACGGUUUGUGCGACGCAGCUAACGCAUUAAGCGCCCCGCCUGGGGAGUACGAUCGCAAGAUUAAAACUCAAAGGAAUUGACGGGGCCCCGCACAAGCAGC
rnacentral:rRNA from 1 species